rnacentral:rRNA from 1 species
UCGGGAAUUUUGGGCAAUGGGCGCAAGCCUGAUCCAGCCAUGCCGCGUGAACGAUGAAGGCCUUAGGGUUGUAAAGUUCUUUUGUCAGGGAAGAUAAUGACGGUACCUGAAGAAUAAGCACCGGCUAACUUCGUGCCAGCAGCCGCGGUAAUACGAAGGGUGCUAGCGUUGUUCGGAAUCACUGGGCGUAAAGCGCGCGUAGGCGGCGAUAUAAGUCAGAGGUGAAAGCCUGGAGCUCAACUCCAGAACUGCCUUUGAAACUAUAUUGCUAGAGUGUCGGAGGGGAUAGCGGAAUUGCUAAUGUAGAGGUGAAAUUCGUAGAUAUUAGCAGGAACACCGGUGGCGAAGGCGGCUAUCUGGACGACAACUGACGCUGAGGCGCGAAAGCGUGGGGAUCAAACAGGAUUAGAUACCCCCGUAGUCCCUGAGCGGGCUGGCAAGGCGCAU